rnacentral:rRNA from 1 species
AGUGAACGCUGGCGGUAGGCCUAACACAUGCAAGUCGAACGGCAGCACAGUAAGAGCUUGCUCUUACGGGUGGCGAGUGGCGGACGGGUGAGGAAUACAUCGGAAUCUACUUUUUCGUGGGGGAUAAUGUAGGGAAACUUACGCUAAUACCGCAUACGACCUACGGGUGAAAGCAGUGGAUCUUCGGACCUUGCGCGAUUGAAUGAGCCGAUGUCGGAUUAGCUAGUUGGCGGGGUAAAGGCCCACCAAGGCGACGAUCCGUAGCUGGUCUGAGAGGAUGAUCAGCCACACUGGAACUGAGACACGGUCCAGACUCCUACGGGAGGCAGCAGUGGGGAAUAUUGGACAAUGGGCGAAAGCCUGAUCCAGCCAUACCGCGUGAGUGAAGAAGGCCUUCGGGUUGUAAAGCCCUUUUGUUGGGAAAGAAAAGCAGCAGGUUAAUACCCCGCUGUUCUGACGGUACCCAAAGAAUAAGCACCGGCUAACUUCGUG